GAGUUUGAUCGUGGCUCAGGAUGAACGUUGGCGGUGUGCCUAACACAUGCAAGUCGAGCGGAGGUCUUCGGACCUCAGCGGCGGACGGCUGAGUAAUGCACGGGAACGUACCUCAAAGUGGGGGAUAGCCUUUCGAAAGAAGGGGUAAUACCGCAUGUGCCAGCAAUGGUAAAGCCGUAAGGCGCUUUAAGAACGGCCCGUGUCCUAUCAGGUAGUUGGUGGGGUAAAUGCCUACCAAGCCUAUGACGGGUAACUGGUCUGAGAGGAUGAUCAGUCAGAUCGGGACUGAGACACGGCCCGAACUCCUACGGGAGGCAGCAGUUGGGAAUCUUGCGCAAUGGACGAAAGUCUGACGCAGCGACACCGCGUGGAGGAUGAAGGUUUUCGGAUCGUAAACUCCUUUUGCUAGGGAAUAAUCAUUGAAGGUACCUAGCGAAUAAGCACCGGCUAACUCCGUGCCAGCCGCCGCCGUAAG
rnacentral:rRNA from 1 species